rnacentral:rRNA from 1 species
GUGCCAGCCGCCGCGGUAAUACGGAGGGUGCAAGCGUUAAUCGGAAUUACUGGGCGUAAAGAGUGCGUAGGUGGUUUGGUAAGUUAUCUGUGAAAUCCCUGGGCUCAACCUGGGCAGGUCAGAUAAUACUGCUGAACUCGAGUAUGGGAGAGGGUAGUGGAAUUUCCGGUGUAGCGGUGAAAUGCGUAGAGAUCGGAAGGAACACCAGUGGCGAAGGCGGCUACCUGGCCUAAUACUGACACUGAGGCACGAAAGCGUGGGGAGCAAACAGGAUUAGAUACCCGGGUAGUCC